ACAGCCGGCUCGAUCUGGUUCGAGCCGAGCCCGGGUGGCCUGACAUGCGCAGUGCGCGAGAGUGAGGGUGGGGGCGCGGGCCUGGGUAGACCCGGCAGCCGGGGACUCCGAGAACGGGGGAGCGGUGUAAGCCACGUCCCUGCCCCCCAACGCGGACCAGCCUGUCAUCGCUCCUCCUCUUCCCAGGAAGAGUGUUGAUCGUUCUGACCGGUGGUGAGGGCCUUCGAAGCCCCGGCCUCCGUUCAUCUGCAAGGCCCACCCCCUGGCACUUUAACACCCGGGUUCUAGAGCAAAAUCCCACAGGGUGUUUGCCAUUUCGCUUGCGAAACUACUUAGCUGUAACUUAUUAAGAAUGUGACCUUUCCUUUUUUAUUGUUGUGUACGCUUAGGAAUUCUUGGAAAGUUGGGAAAACCUAGCCUAUGGUUUGCUACUGUGGUGAAAUCAUUUUGAAAAGUACCUUCAGCAAUUAAUGAAAUGGACAUAAUGAUACACUUUAUAGAAAUUUAAUGCAACGUUUGUUUUGA